rnacentral:rRNA from 1 species
AGUGAACGCUGGCGGUAGGCCUAACACAUGCAAGUCGAACGGCAGCACAGGAGAGCUUGCUCUCUGGUGGCGAGUUGCGGACGGGUGAGGAAUACAUCGGAAUCUACUUUUUCGUGGGGGAUAACGUAGGGAAACUUACGCUAAUACCGCAUACGACCUACGGGUGAAAGCAGGGGACCUUCGGGCCUUGCGCGAUUGAACGAGCCGAUGUCGGAUUAGCUAGUUGGCGGGGUAAAGGCCCACCAAGGCGACGAUCCGUAGCUGGGCUGAGAGGAUGAUCAGCCACACUGGAACUGAGACACAGUCCAGACUCCUACGGGAGGCAGCAGUGGGGAAUAUUGGACAGUGGGCGCAAGCCUGAUCCAGCCAUACCGCGUGGGUGAAGAAGGCCUUCGGGUUGUAAAGCCCUUUUGUUGGGAAAGAAAUCCAGCUGGCUAAUACCCGGUUGGGAUGACGGUACCCAAAGAAUAAGCACCGGCUAACUUCGUGCCAGCCGCCGCCGUAA